GGCCGAGUGCGGGACUGGGGCUCCUGGCUGUGGGUGUGGUACCGAGGCUUCAGCGGGUGCCGCCCGCCUAGAGGGAGUGGAGCGGCUAGACAGCUUUAGGAACUGAAAGGUUCACGAGGCUGUAACGAAGAGUCGAGUUGCUCCAGAGAGCCUACGACUAGAUUUGCAUCUUUACGUCCUGCGCGGAGGCUGCUACACACAUGCAGAAGUCAUGCUGGUGGCCUGGACAGUGAAGGGAGAGAAGUGGAUUUGGGAGACAUUUAGGAGAUGGCACCAAAAGCGAAGGAAGCUCCUGCUCAUCCUAAAGCCGAAGCCAAAGCGAAGGCUUUAAAGGCCAAGAAGGCAGUGUUGAAAGGUGUCCGCAGCCACACGCAAAAAAGAAGAUCCGCAUGUCACUCACCUUCAGGCGGCCCAAGACACUGCGACUCCGGAGGCAGCCCAGAUAUCCUCGGAAGAGCACCCCCAGGAGAAACAAGCUUGGCCACUAUGCUAUCAUCAAGUUUCCGCUGGCCACUGAGUCGGCCGUGAAGAAGAUAGAAGAAAACAACACGCUUGUGUUCACUGUGGAUGUUAAAGCCAACAAGCACCAGAUCAGACAGGCUGUGAAGAAGCUCUAUGACAGUGAUGUGGCCAAGGUCACCACCCUGAUUUGUCCUGAUAAGGAGAACAAGGCAUAUGUUCGACUUGCUCCUGAUUAUGAUGCUUUCGAUGUUGUAACAAAAUUGGGAUCACCUAAACUGAGUCCAGCUGGCUAACUCUAAAUAUAUGUGUAUCUUUUCAGCAUAAAAAAA
ensembl:lncRNA RPL23AP7 ribosomal protein L23a pseudogene 7